rnacentral:lncRNA from 1 species
AAAGGGGCUGCGCGGGCGCGAGGACUGGCCGGUGGGCGUUCCGGCGCCGCGAACCGCGGAGCCUGCAACUUACAAAGGGCGGGGCUCGAGCCCGGGACUGCCAGGACGUUGAAGAAAGGACAAGCCCCCUUUGUCCUGGACGUAAGCCGCAAGUCGUCCUGAGUGGUGCACACCGCGAAGACUGAGGAAACUGGAUCACAGGGCUGGGCCGUGAGCCUUGAACCUCGGAGAACGUCGCAUUACUGCUCCAGCGCGCCGGUUCAGGGCCGCGGGACGCGAGCCCUUUAAAAGGAUGGAUUUGCUUCCUGUGACUCCCUGGAAGAGACGUCUUCACCACCGCACUGCGUA